GGAGGUGGGAGACAAGAAAAUAUGGCGAAAUAGAGUUCAGGAACGUAUGUGUUGAGCCAUGUGCAGGCGAAACUCUCCUGUGAAAAGCCGCGCGACUCUGAACGAAAAAAUCUCGUGACACCUUUGUGAGAUGAUGGGGACUUUUACAUGGGGAGUUUGAGUAACAUGAAGGGACACAGACGCUUACUCUUUCCGCUCUUCGUCACUCUUCUCUGAAGCCUGAAGAAGUCGCCUGCUGUUUUUCUGAACGGCAAACGACAGAACCCUCGGACGGCAGCUGGGUGGGUGUCUGACUUUCGGAGCUCCCGAGACGGUGGAACGGUGUGGUUCCAAAAUGUCCAUAUACGGAGCGAAUCUUGCGGGGAACGCUGUGUUUUGACAACUUCCCUGAUAAACGCCUCUCUUCUUAUUCGCGUAACACACAUCACGUCUCGUCGGUACUGACAGUUGGAGGAACCAGAGUGGCAUGGCUGUUCUGUGCUCCAAGUCCGUUUGACACCGAAAUGUUUCGCAUUCUGAAGGUGGAACGGAUCGCAGAAAAACGCGUGCAAGCUGUUGUUCCUCAAACUGUUGAUUUCGUGUGAAUCCGGUAGCAAGAACAGCAAGGAAGCUCCGACCCAGCAAGUCGAAGUCCUGGUCUCUGUCGAAUCGUUGGACAGAAAAGAGCUGUCUGUGUUAACGACAAUGGAAUUCACGGUCUCUUGAUCCUCGGAUUGAUCUAUUUCUAACAAUGAUGGCUUUGACGGCGCAGGUCUACCCACUGUUACGCAAUUCAGUCAUGUUGUUGCGUGUUUUUGCCAUCUGGGGAUUUGCCAAUCAGGGAAUUUACGCCUCUGUAGUUUCGACCGUGCUUGGAAACCCACGUGGAUUUGUGCCCGUCCAGCCUGAGAAAAUUCCAGUCUGU
rnacentral:lncRNA from 1 species